UUACACACGGAGAUGGUCAGCACGCCUGAAUUCAUGCUCAGAGAAAGCGCUUGGGAAGGUCUGAGAAGGCCGAUUUCCCUUGGUGGGAAUGUCACGAAAGUACUACUUGGGGACCAGCAAUGAUACCUGCUGAGGGUAAGCACAAGAUCUCAGUGCCGGGUGGUGCUGGGUGAUGCGUUAUCAGCCCUUAGCUUGGUUGGAACAACCCGAGAGGCCCAAAUCAUCAAAGUUCAAUACACAAGGUGGCUUCAAGCCAUA
rnacentral:RNase_P_RNA from 1 species